UACGUAGGAUGCAAGCGUUGUCCGGAAUUAUUGGGCGUAAAGAGCUCGUAGGCGGCUCGUUGCGUCGGCUGUGAAAACCCGCAGCUCAACUGUGGGCUUGCAGCUGAUACGGGCGGGCUGGAGUUCGGUAGGGGAGACUGGAAUUCCUGGUGUAGCGGUGAAAUGCGCAGAUAUCAGGAGGAACACCGGUGGCGAAGGCGGGUCUCUGGGCCGAUACUGACGCUGAGGAGCGAAAGCGUGGGGAGCGAACAGG
rnacentral:rRNA from 1 species